rnacentral:lncRNA from 1 species
CUAUAACAACAGCCUGACUGGACAGGGAUCAAAUCCACUGGACAAGGUUCAACUUGACUGGACAGGAUCAACUUGACUGGACAGGGAUCAACUCCACUGGACAAGGAUCAACUUGACUGGACAAGGAUCAACUUGACUGGACAGGGAUCAACUCCACUGGACAAGGAUCAACUUGACUGGACAGGGAUCAACUCCACUGGACAAGGAUCAACUUGACUGGACAAGGAUCAACUUGACUGGACAGAGAUCAAAUCGACUGGACAGGGAUUGACUUGACUGGACAGGGAUCAAAUAAAUACUGAUGAUAUAUGUUUAAAAUGAGAAUAUAAAUGUU